UACGUAGGGACCAAGCGUUGUUCGGAUUUACUGGGCGUAAAGGGCGCGUAGGCGGCAAAUUAAGUCAUCUGUGAAAUCUCCGAGCUUAACUCGGAACGGUCAGGUGAUACUGAUCUGCUAGAGUGCGGAAGGGGCAAUCGGAAUUCUUGGUGUAGCGGUGAAAUGCGUAGAUAUCAAGAGGAACACCUGCGGCGAAGGCGGGUUGCUGGGCCGACACUGACGCUGAGGCGCGAAAGCGUGGGGAGCGAACAGG
rnacentral:rRNA from 1 species